AGUUUGAUCCUGGCUCAGGAUGAACGCUAGCUACAGGCUUAACACAUGCAAGUCGAGGGGCAGCAUUGGAGUAGCAAUACUUCAGAUGGCGACCGGCGCACGGGUGAGUAACACGUAUCCAACCUGCCGCUUACUCGGGGAUAGCCUUUCGAAAGAAAGAUUAAUACCCGAUGGUAUAAAGAGUUCGCAUGUUCUCUUUAUUAAAGAAUUUCGGUAAGCGAUGGGGAUGCGUUCCAUUAGAUUGUUGGCGGGGUAACGGCCCACCAAGUCUACGAUGGAUAGGGGUUCUGAGAGGAAGGUCCCCCACAUUGGAACUGAGACACGGUCCAAACUCCUACGGGAGGCAGCAGUGAGGAAUAUUGGUCAAUGGACGAGAGUCUGAACCAGCCAAGUAGCGUGAAGGAUGACUGCCCUAUGGGUUGUAAACUUCUUUUAUAAGGGAAUAAAGUGAGGGACGUGUCCCUUUUUGUAUGUACCUUAUGAAUAAGGAUCGGCUAACUCCGUGCCAGCAGCCGCGGUAAUACGGAGGAUCCAAGCGUUAUCCGGAUUUAUUGGGUUUAAAGGGAGCGUAGGUUGACAUAUAAGUCAGCUGUGAAAGUUUACGGCUCAACCGUGAAAUUGCAGUUGAUACUGUAUGUCUUGAGUGUACAAGAGGUGGGCGGAAUUCGUGGUGUAGCGGUGAAAUGCUUAGAUAUCACGAAGAACUCCAAUUGCGAAGGCAGCUCACUGGGGUACAACUGACACUGAGGCUCGAAAGUGUGGGUAUCAAACAGGAUUAGAUACCCUGGUAGUCCACACAGUAAACGAUGAAUACUCGCUGUUUGCGAUAUACAGUAAGCGGCCAAGCGAAAGCAUUAAGUAUUCCACCUGGGGAGUACGCCGGCAACGGUGAAACUCAAAGGAAUUGACGGGGGCCCGCACAAGCGGAGGAACAUGUGGUUUAAUUCGAUGAUACGCGAGGAACCUUACCCGGGCUUGAAUUGCAGAGGAACAUAGUUGAAAGAUUAUGGCCGCAAGGUCUCUGUGAAGGUGCUGCAUGGUUGUCGUCAGCUCGUGCCGUGAGGUGUCGGCUUAAGUGCCAUAACGAGCGCAACCCUUAUCAUUAGUUACUAACAGGUCAUGCUGAGGACUCUAGUGAGACUGCCGUCGUAAGAUGUGAGGAAGGUGG
rnacentral:rRNA from 1 species